AAUUAAAAAAGUGUACGUAUCCUAAUCCAAAAGAACCUUGUAAAAAGAAAACUUUCUCUUGGACCGAAUGGAACCGAAUCCCCUUUGAGAAAAAAGAAAAAUGCUCCUCCAUUUACUUUUCUAGGUUUUUCCUGCUUAUUCUUUCUUCUCUCAGGAAUGUAAUUUGGAAACGGAGGUAUUUCCCAAUCUGAUAAAUAAUUUUUGUUAGGCACUUUGAAUUGAAUUAAACUGAAAAAUGAUGGGGGAAUCGAAGCCCGAAGGCGAAGUGUUCCUUUCCCAAUCUGAUCUCUCCCCUCAUGGAGAGAAAUAUGAUGAAGGAAACAAAGAAGAAGAUACGAUACUUGACCUCACAAGCUGUCAGCUCCACGAUUUAGAGGAGGUUGAACUUCCGGUGCAGUUGACAGAAAUAGAUUUCAGUGCAAACAGGCUCAAGCUCUUGGAUGACAGAAUAGCUCACCUUACACGCCUGAAAAAACUUAGUUUGAGGCAGAAUCUUUUUACCGAUGAUGCCCUUCAACGCCUGUCUCAAUGGCCAGCUAUCUACGCCCUUCAGGAAUUGGUGCUUAGGGACAACAGACUCAAAAAGAUACCUGAUAUUAGUAAAUUUAAGGAUCUUGUCAUCUUUGAUGUGUCAUUCAACGAGAUUUCUUCACUCAAGGGAAUGUCAGAGGCUUCUCCAGUGCUUAAGGAACUGUACCUUUCUAAGAACGAGUUAACCAAGAUAGAAGAACUUGAUCACUUGCAUCAACUGCGAAUACUUGAACUUGGCUCAAACAGGUUGCGUGUGAUGGAGGGUUUGGAAAAAAUGGCUGUACUGCAAGAACUCUGGCUGGGUUGCAACCGUAUUCGUACUGUAGAUCUCUGUGGUUUGAAAUCUCUUAUUAAAAUAAGCUUGCAAAGCAACCGCCUCACAUCUAUGCUUGGUUUCAAUGAUUGCAUCAGUCUAGAGGAGCUUUAUUUGAGUCAUAAUGGCAUCUCAAAGAUGGAAGGGCUUUCCACUCUAGUCAAUCUCAUGGUGUUAGAUGUAUCAUCAAAUAAAUUGACUUCUAUAACGGGCAUUGAAAAUUUAGCAAGGUUAGAGGAUUUGUGGCUAAAUGAUAAUCAAAUAGCAUCUUUAGAUGGCAUUGAUUCUGCACUUGCUGGUUCAAGGGAGAAGCUUACUACAAUUUAUCUUGAGCACAAUCCAUGUGCAAAGGACCCAUCUUAUAUAAGCACACUGCGACUCAACUUUCCAAGUAUUCAGCAGAUUGACUCCAACAUUUUUUGAGGUUGAAUACACUGUUUGCUUUCAUAGGGUUGUAUAGCAUCAAUCCUAGAUCUCUUCAUGGCUUUUGAGCUACCAUAUGGGUCUAAUAAGUGCCAGAAAUUGGAGAGAAUAAAUGCCCUUUAGUUAGUUGAGUGCCUAAAUGGCUUUGUUCUGCCUGGAUUCUGUGGGUUAUUACCUCUGGAAAGGGGUGUCCCUGGUUGCUAUGCACCAAACUUGUUCCAUGAAGUUGAAUUGUGAGCGAAUUUUUAUUUUUGUAUUUUCUGGGUCCAUCGAAGUCACUGGAGAAUAAUACAACUUUUGAGUGUAGAAAUGCUGCCGUUCCUUUUUCAUAAAAAAAUCAUCAUACUACAUUUGCUCUCAUAGUUUCUAAUGCUGUAGACAUGAUUGGCAAGUGUUUUAGUAAAUUGUCAGAGAAUUUUUUAUCA